rnacentral:rRNA from 1 species
GACGAACGCUGGCGGCGUGCUUAACACAUGCAAGUCGAACGGAAAGGCCCUGCUUGCAGGGUACUCGAGUGGCGAACGGGUGAGUAACACGUGGGUGAUCUGCCCUGCACUUCGGGAUAAGCCUGGGAAACUGGGUCUAAUACCGGAUAGGAGCCAUUUUUAGUGUGAUGGUUGGAAAGUUUUUUCGGUGUAGGAUGAGCUCGCGGCCUAUCAGCUUGUUGGUGGGGUAAUGGCCUACCAAGGCGGCGACGGGUAGCCGGCCUGAGAGGGUGGACGGCCACAUUGGGACUGAGAUACGGCCCAGACUCCUACGGGAGGCAGCAGUGGGGAAUAUUGCACAAUAGGCGCAAGCCUGAUGCAGCGACGCCGCGUGGGGGAUGACGGCCUUCGGGUUGUAAACUCCUUUCGCUAGGGACGAAGCUUUUUGUGACGGUACCUAGAUAAGAAGCACCGGCUAACUACGUG